AGGGCCGGUGUCGUUUGUGUUGCGUUGGGUCAAAAAUGGUUAACUUAUUUUCGACCGACCGCGUAGAAAAAAAGGGGCUCUCGAGAGAAAGGCGACAGGAAGGGCGAUUCCUCUCCGUGUGCUUUACGAAGGUAGAUCGUUGCGUAAUUUUUUUGAUUCCUUUGAUUUUUCGAUUCAGGCCACGUUAUCUUCUUGCUUCCUCUCAAUCUGGUUGGGUUAUGGGGUUU
rnacentral:lncRNA from 1 species